rnacentral:rRNA from 1 species
AACGAACGCUGGCGGCAUGCCUAACACAUGCAAGUCGAACGAGAUCUUCGGGUCUAGUGGCGCACGGGUGCGUAACGCGUGGGAAUCUGCCCUUUGGUUCGGAAUAACAGUUGGAAACGACUGCUAAUACCGGAUGAUGACGAAAGUCCAAAGAUUUAUCGCCAGAGGAUGAGUCCGCGUAGGAUUAGCUAGUUGGUGUGGUAAAGGCGCACCAAGGCGACGAUCCUUAGCUGGUCUGAGAGGGUGAUCAGCCACACUGGGACUGAGACACGGCCCAGGCUCCCACGAGAGGCAGCAGUGGGGAAUAUUGGACGAUGGGCGAAAGCCUGAUCCAGCUAUGCCGCGUGAGUGAUGAAGGCCUUAGGGUUGUAAAGCUCUUUUACCCGGGACGAUAAUGACAGUACCGGGAGAAUAAGCUCCGGCUAACUCCGUGCCAGCAGCCGCGGUAG